rnacentral:rRNA from 1 species
UACGUAGGGGGCAAGCGUUGUCCGGAUUUACUGGGCGUAAAGGGCGCGUAGGCGGCCACCGCAAGUCAGUUGUGAAAUCUCUGGGCUUAACCCAGAAAGGUCAACUGAUACUGCGGGGCUAGAGUGCAGAAGGGGCAACUGGAAUUCUCGGUGUAGCGGUGAAAUGCGUAGAUAUCGAGAGGAACACCUGCGGCGAAGGCGGGUUGCUGGGCUGACACUGACGCUGAUGCGCGAAAGCGUGGGGAGCAAACAGG